rnacentral:rRNA from 1 species
GCGGAUGGAGCUGAAGCCAGUCGAAGAUACCAGCUGGCUGCAACUGUUUAAUAAAAACACAGCACUGUGCAAACACGAAAGUGGACGUAUACGGUGUGACGCCUGCCCGGUGCUGGAAGGUUAAUUGAUGGGGUCAGCCGCAAGGCGAAGCUCUUGAUCGAAGCCCCAGUAAACGGCGGCCGUAACUAUAACGGUCCUAAGGUAGCGAAAUUCCUUGUCGGGUAAGUUCCGACCUGCACGAAUGGCGUAAUGAUGGCCAGGCUGUCUCCACCCGAGACUCAGUGAAAUUGAACUCGCUGUGAAGAUGCAGUGUACCCGCGGCAAGACGGAAAGACCCCGUGAACCUUUACUAUAGCUUGACACUGAACAUUGAGCCUUGAUGUGUAGGAUAGGUGGGAGGCUUUGAAGCGUGGACGCCAGUCUGCGUGGAGCCAUCCUUGAAAUACCACCCUUUAAUGUUUGAUGUUCUAACUCUGCCCCAUAAUCUGGGGUGAGGACAGUGUCUGGUGGGUAGUUUGACUGGGGCGGUCUCCUCCCAAAGAGUAACGGAGGAGCACGAAGGUUAGCUAAUCACGGUCGGACAUCGUGAGGUUAGUGCAAAGGCAUAAGCUAGCUUGACUGCGAGAGUGACGGCUCGAGCAGGUACGAAAGUAGGUCUUAGUGAUCCGGUGGUUCUGAAUGGAAGGGCCAUCGCUCAACGGAUAAAAGGUACUCCGGGGAUAACAGGCUGAUACCGCCCAAGAGUUCAUAUCGACGGCGGUGUUUGGCACCUCGAUGUCGGCUCAUCACAUCCUGGGGCUGAAGUAGGUCCCAAGGGUAUGGCUGUUCGCCAUUUAAAGUGGUACGCGAGCUGGGUUUAGAACGUCGUGAGACAGUUCGGUCCCUAUCUGCCGUGGGCGUUGGAAGAUUGAGAGGGGUUGCUCCUAGUACGAGAGGACCGGAGUGAACGCACCACUGGUGUUCGGGUUGUCAUGCCAAUGGCAUUGCCCGGUAGCUAAGUGCGGAAAAGAUAAGCGCUGAAAGCAUCUAAGCGCGAAACUUGCCUCAAGAUGAGUCUUCCCUGG